UUUCCUGUAUUUCGUGUAGGGGACGGAUUGAGCACUUUAUAUGCUUGAAGGUGGCAUGGAAAUACAGCAAACCAAAGGGAAGAAGAAAAUUUCACUUUUCCUUUUGUCGAAAACACAUGGUAUUGGCUUUUAGUUUGUGGUCAACACCAGUUGAAGAAAAGACUGCCUGUAAUUUAGAUGAGAUGAUGGAAUAAAGGUUUGAGAUUAAGUAGGAGGGGAGGUAUAGAUGUUUUUGGGCUGAAGAACAGGGAGAGGAGGGAGCUUUGUGGUCGGGAGAGUUUGCUUAAAGUGCCUGGCUGUUUUUGCAACGGGUGGCUCAGGAAUGCAACCGCCAACUGCUCAAACAUAUGACAAAGACAGAGAAAGAGAUUGGUCUUGCUCUAUGCAUCGUUACCUUGGUUUCGAAGAAUCUUUGGAAAGACCCAUGGACCGUGAACCUCACCGGACAUCUUACCUUGGCUGGCAUCCCGACUGGAUCAGAGUACCGUUUCAGUUGCGUACCUUGUACACCCUCCUCGAAGGAUUACCUCCCUGGCUCCUGUCGGCACCUCACUCUGGAUCAGCACUCAGUCCUGACGCGUUCUCUUCCUGGCGGAUACCGAAGCCCCACCAUUCAGCCUGGCUUCCUUGUCACCGGACCCUCGUUCCAGUCUUUCAAUAAAAUAACUAAAACG